CAACGCUGAUUUCUAAUACCUUCCAAAAGUAAGGAUUAGCUAAUCAGAGUCUGUUUUACCCUCCCCAGCCGUCUUCUCAUUUCUUUCUCAUUUCUCAUUUCUUUCUCACGUCUGAAACAUCUUCUUCUUUUUUUCAUUUUUCUUUCCAUUUCCUUCCAACCUUCUCCCUCCUUUUCAUGCUUCUAUCCUGACCAACCCUUUAACAAACCCUAACAACCCUCAACAAGGCCUUCAAUUACGAAUCGUAUGAGGUAACAGAGUAACAGAGAGUAGCAGCAAUGGUUCCCAAUGAGUAGGGAAGUCUCUUGAAAUUGUCUGCCAAUUAUCUCCAAAUGCAGUGACUUCAAAUGCAGUGAAUCCCAAUUCAAUCAAGGUGAAUGUAGGAGAAUGUCAUUACCAGCAAUGUUAGUAGGGGAAACAGUGGGUGAAAUGCUUCAAGCAAAUCAAUUUGCAAGACAGAUCCUAGCUGUUGUUGAUAACAAAACCAAGAAUACUUCUGCGGAUCCUAAAACUCCAUUGACUGAACACAGGAAGCAAAGAUGUCAAUUUUUAAAGUCUCUGAUGGAAAAGGAUGAUUCGAAAUGCGGGCAGAAUGCGGUGGUGGAGAGGAAAACCAUAUUAGUCCCGAAAAGUGAGACCAUAGUUCAUGCAAUUGUUAGGAAUGUUAAAACAUUUGACUACCAAUUAAGCAAUGGUGAUAUGAAGCCAAUAAAAAAAGGUUUGAAAACAACUCGGAAGCAGCGAUCCAAAGGAAGCAAGUGAAAAACGAGACUGUAGAGACUUGAGAGACAAAAGUGUUUGUAUAUGAGGUAAAAUUGGAUUAGAUGGAGUGUGUUAUAUAUAUGUAUAUGGGACUGAGUGAAUUUUGAUAGGUAUUAGCACUCGGAUCUCUAAAAGCCAGCAUGGUUAGUGUAACAUCAUCACCCAGUUUUAUAGGGACAAGAUUUUGGAUAUUAUCUCAAACGUUUUAAGGCCUAUUAACAUAUGGCAUAAAUUUUAAGCACAAUCCCUAUAUUAUUGUAUAACCAUAGAUACAACCCUCAAUCUUUACCAUUUUGGUUAAUUUAGUCUGUAACAUUUCGUUUUUA